UUCAGGCACUUCUUCAACCUUGAUUAAAUGGUUGGUAUUCUUUGACUUUCAUCUCUAAAUUUGACACUUUUUGUACAUUUUCUUCUUCUAGUGAAUCUUGGAACUGGUAAGAGUGGCAUAAGUAAGAGUUUUUUGGUUGCCAUUUCGGUAGUGGUGAUUACUUAUGUUGUUACAGUAUCUAUGCUCGUCAUAGUUCUCCUCAUGCGAAGGGAAAACAGAAGCCAACAAUUGUCAAGAACGAAAUUAUAAGUUCACUGUAGAUUAAUCAUAAAAUAUAUUUAGUCUCACUAUUGGGCUUGUUACUGAAAAUUGUUAUUACUUCCUACUUCCUAGAAUGCAGCUUACAAUGGUCACGUUGAAUCAAGGAAGCGCACUGAACAUACAUGUCAAGGGUUUAAACUUCAAGGUUUUGAUCGUAAUGCUCACAGAGGGGGUAACAAAAAAAGUCUUGUACAGGGUAAUUAAAAUUCUGAAAGCUAGUUUAUGGUUCCUAUUAAUUUCUUAUCCACUUUGUCUUAUUUAAUACUAAUAGGACCAUUUAGGACUCUAUUGGUGGUUAUAAACAUUUCGAUUGGUAAGCAACUAAGCAUUCUCUUUGAGUAUUAGGGAUUUCAUAAAAAUUAAUUACUUGUUUAUGGACCGUGCUUAUACCUAAGUGAUUGGGGUGGGGUACGUGGCCGGGAGGAUUUCUAGAGGAAGUUAUUAAACGUUCUAGGUGCGCUUGAAAUACUUUUACUUUUAAUUCUUCUUCAUUUUAGGGCUCUGCGGUUGUGCCCCUAUAAAUAUCUUAGUGUGGAAUUGUGGAUGUGUGAUGCCAAAUGCUUUAUAUUGGAGCAUGUAAAUGGAUUCCCGAUGAUACAAUGGCCCCCAUUUCACUUGCGAAUUUCUAUUGCGCUAGAUAUGGCGAAGGACAACAAUGGGAAGCAUCGGGAACUUAUAAAGAGAAUAGAGGUUGAUCCAUAUAUGUCAUGUGGUUUUCGAGAAUUCAUGAUCGAGAUCAAACAAGUUAAAUCCUUUUUCCUGUUAAAGUAUGUCCCAAGUGCAUGAACAUUUGUGGGUUGGGAAUUCUUUCAAUGAAUGAUUGUCAUGGCAGGAUCUUGCAGAACUUCAUCCCAUCCUCUUUGUGCAAGGGAGGUAAAAAAUAAACUAGAAAUCUGUGGAAGGUCUGGUUGGGAUGAUGUAAGAAAUUAUAAUAUUGUUGAAUUUGGAACUGUAUACAUCAUAUAUGGUGUUUAAGUAGUAUUUUCUUAUGUAAUAACGACACUGUCAGCAACUAUGUUGCUUGGAAUUUCUUUAUAUUGGUUUCAUGAACA